UACGUAGGGUGCAAGCGUUGUCCGGAUUUAUUGGGCGUAAAGAGCUCGUAGGCGGCUCAUUGCGUCAACCGUGAAAACCUGCCGCUCAACGGUAGGCUUGCGGUUGAUACGGGUGGGCUGGAGUUCGGUAGGGGAGACUGGAAUUCCUGGUGUAGCGGUGAAAUGCGCAGAUAUCAGGAGGAACACCGGUGGCGAAGGCGGGUCUCUGGGCCGAUACUGACGCUGAGGAGCGAAAGCGUGGGGAGCGAACAGG
rnacentral:rRNA from 1 species